rnacentral:piRNA from 1 species
UUUCUCACUGUCUGAGCUGAAGA